UACGUAGGGGGCAAGCGUUGUCCGGAAUCAUUGGGCGUAAAGAGCGUGUAGGCGGCCAGAUAAGUCCGCUGUGAAAUCUCGAGGCUCAACUUCGAGCUGUCGGUGGAAACUGUCUGGCUAGAGUCCGGAAGAGGAAAAUGGAAUUCCUGGUGUAGCGGUGAAAUGCGCAGAUAUCAGGAAGAACACCCGUGGCGAAGGCGGUUCUCUGGGACGGUACUGACGCUGAGACGCGAAAGCGUGGGGAGCGAACAGG
rnacentral:rRNA from 1 species